AACUUUGUGCAGUGGCAGUGUCGUCGUCAAUUAGGUUUAUCUGAGGCGCGAUUAUUGCUAAUUGAAGAAGUUAAGUAGAUUGCCCUAUAAAACAUCCCUUGGUCUGAAAUUUGUUAAAUGCAUCUGGGUAUGAUUUUAUAUAGCCAGUAUUUCCUG
rnacentral:snRNA from 13 species